rnacentral:rRNA from 1 species
UGGGGGAUACUGCACAAUGGGCGAAAGCCUGAUGCAGCGACGCCGCGUGGGGGAUGAAGGCCUUCGGGUUGUAAACUUCUUUUGCUCUGAACAAGGCGCACCAUGGGGUGUGUUGAGUGUAGGGGUUGAUUAGCGCCGGCUAACUACGUGCCAGCAGCCGCGGUAAUACGUAGGGCGCGAGCGUUGUCCGGAAUUAUUGGGCGUAAAGGGCUUGUAGGUGGCUGGUUGCGUCUGUCGUGAAAGCUCAUGGCUUAACUGUGGGUUUGCGGUGGGUACGGGCUGGCUUGAGUGCAGUAGGGGAGGCUGGAAUUCCUGGUGUAGCGGUGGAAUGCGCAGAUAUCAGGAGGAAUACCGGUGGCGAAGGCGGGUCUCUGGGCUGUUACUGGCACUGAGGAGCGAAAGCAUGGGGAGCGAACAGG